GUAUAUAUAGCACUAUAUAUAAAUAAGUAACUUCCCAUAUUUUCUUAGGUUGUCAUUAAUGUCCCUUAGUGACAGAGUAGGUUUCAAAGCACAGAACAGGCACCUAUUUUGUCAGAUUUAUCGCUAUAUAGUUUAUAUAGUCAUUUACAAAGUGCUUUUCCAUGAUGGAUUGAAAAAAAAGAGAUAAACAACCAAAUGGAAAACCUAAUUAUCCAUGACAGAUGGUUGAGAAGAGUUGUACUGAGAUACUCUUCAGAAAUACAAUCAUUUUCAAGUUUUACCAUUUCUAAAAUGUUAACCCUCCAAUAACAUCUUAGUUGGUCAUUUUUGCACCUUGCAUUGAAAAAUUGGAGAAAGUACAGCGUCAGAUGUCCUGAGACAGUGUAUAAGUUCUGUGUUUGUAGGUGUCCAUUUGGUGUGUAUGUUUCACUUCUACUGAAUUGAUAUUCAUUGCUAUCAAAGCAUAUGCAAUCCUGAAAAUUUUAAAAGUUGGUUUGCGUUAAGACAACUAAAUUUUGAAAAAAUUCGAAGCAGAGUCAAAUAUUCAAAAUGAUCAUUACACAAACUUAAUCUGCAUUCCUAGAAAAAACACAUUAUUGCUACAAUCUCAAGACAUUUUAAUUUUGGCAUGAAACGUACCAUUAUUCUAUUAUAGUGUGCCUGGACUUCAAACAUAAAUUCACCACUAUGGGACUGUUCAACAGAACUAUAAUCACAAGGACUAUUAUUUAUUGAGUAAUUCAUAUAUAAAAAGAAGGUCCCUAGGUCCUUCACAUGCAUUGUCUCAUUUAUUUUUCCUGCAAAGUAGUCACCAUUAUUGUCAUAUGAUAGAUUUAAUUCAGACAUACUCCUGAAGAGCUGGCAAUAACGCCAUCAUUAAUCAUUCAGGUCAAAGACCUGACAUAACAUUAUGCAAAUAUCAAUGAGAGCAUUUUGAUGGAAAAAUUUAAAUAUUUGAAUUUUAAAUGAAACACUGGCUUUAGUAAUUCCUCUUUAAAACAAGCAUGAGUUUAUUUCUAAAAAGGAUUUUAAUCAUGCAUUUUAAAAAAUCCAACACUGUCAAACAAACCAAAAGAGCCAAACACAUAUUUUCCAAGAAAAACUCAAAUAUUGAUUCAAAAGUGCAAAGACACUUAGAAAUAACCCAGAGUAUGACUCAGUGUUUCACAGAGGAAUGUUAAUGAAAGUAUCUUUUCAUCCACAACUCCAGCAGGAACAUAAAUCCUAAUUAAAAUCAAAGUUGCAUGUGCUGUCUUGUUAAAUGAUGAUUAACUGUCAGAAAUUUCUUUGAAGUUUGAGUUGUUAGGAAUAAGAUUGCCCAUUUAAUGUCUGUAAAAUAAAGUAGUGAUUCUCUGAAUUCUGAAUUCUUGAGAGACUAGAGCUAACAAAAUAUUUUGCAUUUGCUCUAUAAAUUGGUAUCACCUAUCUUCUCAUUUGUGUUGAAAUUAGAAUACAUCAGACAUCUACAUCUUGUAGACCAGGUAAUUCAAACGAUCCCCCUUUUUGAGGGCAAAUUAAAAUUUACAUAAAGCAUCAUUAAAAAGAUUUCAAGAUUUCACCAUCAUGUUUAGAGAACAGAGCACCGAAAGUGAUGAGAAAGUGAGGUAGGUAGGUAGGUAGGUAGGUAGACCAGCGAGAUACCCAGCAUGCAAAGUAGCUUUUGUUUUAGGGCAUUUUCCAGUCUGGAGAUAUGGUUCCAUACAAUCAUGGACACAAGGGGGCAGAGGUCAAAAUAAUUUAUCUUCAGAUACAAUGAUGAGCUCUCAACCAUGACUAAGUACAUUGAAGAAGCAUGACGCUGCAUAAAUGUCCCAUAAGACCUGGCAGAUAUGAUAAUCAUUAGAAAAAGAUCCCCCCAAAUUUAAAAGACAGUGUAAUGAUUAGGCAUGGAGGAAUGUUCAAAGAACUAAAAAAAGUUGACAAUUUCUGCAGACAGUGAGAAACUAUUUAAGAAGGGAAAAA